rnacentral:rRNA from 1 species
CAGCUUGCUGUUGGUGGAUGAGUGGCGAACGGGUGAGUAACACGUGAGUAACCUGCCCCUGAUUUCGGGAUAAGCCUGGGAAACUGGGUCUAAUACCGGAUAUGACCUCCUCUUGCAUGAUGGGUGGUGGAAAGUUUUUCGAUCGGGGAUGGGCUCGCGGCCUAUCAGCUUGUUGGUGGGGUAAUGGCCUACCAAGGCGACGACGGGUAGCCGGCCUGAGAGGGCGACCGGCCACACUGGGACUGAGACACGGCCCAGACUCCUACGGGAGGCAGCAGUGGGGAAUAUUGCACAAUGGGGGAAACCCUGAUGCAGCGACGCAGCGUGCGGGAUGACGGCCUUCGGGUUGUAAACCGCUUUCAGCAGGGAAGAAGCGAAAGUGACGGUACCUGCAGAAGAAGUACCGGCUAACUACGUGCCAGCAGCCGCGGUAAUACGUAGGGUACGAGCGUUGUCCGGAAUUAUUGGGCGUAAAGAGCUCGUAGGUGGUUGGUCACGUCUGCUGUGGAAACGCAACGCUUAACGUUGCGCGUGCAGUGGGUACGGGCUGACUAGAGUGCAGUAGGGGAGUCUGGAAUUCCUGGUGUAGCGGUGAAAUGCGCAGAUAUCAGGAGGAACAC